rnacentral:pre_miRNA from 1 species
UAGUUUUGUCCUAAGUCAAACUUGUCUAGCUUUGACCAAGUUGAUAAAAAAAUAUAUUAACAUCUACAAUAUCAAUGAAUGUACUAUCAAAAUAUAUGUCAUAUGGUAUAUAAUGAAUCUUGUUUGAUGUUGCAAAUGUUUGUGCAUUUUUCUAUAAACUUGGUCAAAGCUACAGAAGUUUUACUUAGGACAAAGCUAG